CCCUUAGAUGUUCUGGGCCGCACGCGUGCUACACUGAGUAAAUCAAUGGGUAAGGGAACACGAAAGUGCAACCUAAUCUUGAAAUUUGCUCGUGAUGGGGAUCGACGGUUGCGAUUUUCCGUCGUGAACGAGGAAUACCUUGUAGGCGCGUGUCAUCAUCACGCGCCGAAUACGUCCCUGCCCUUUGUACACACCGCCCGUCGCUCCUACCGAUUGAGUGAUCCGGUGAGGCUCUGGGACCUGGACGGAAAGAGCGUUUCGCUUGUUCUGUUUGGGAAACUUGGUCGAACCUUAUCAUUUAGAGGAAGGAGAAGUCGUAACA
rnacentral:rRNA from 1 species